AUUCGAUACUAGCUACGGAAGGUGUAAAAUGCUUCCAGGCAGGAGCCAGAAAAAAGAGCCCAGCCAUACAAUACUACAAGUAACCACAUAGCUGUUAUUGAUGAUGCCAAGUUUUAAGGAAAACAGAAGACAGGCUGAAGAAAGUCAACGAAGAGGCCGUGUGUGUGUGGGGAGAAGGUGAACAUUUGAAAAG